UACGGAGGAUCCAAGCGUUAUCCGGAAUCAUUGGGUUUAAAGGGUCCGUAGGCGGGCCUGUAAGUCAGUGGUGAAAUCUUUCGGCUCAACCGGAAAAUUGCCAUUGAUACUGCAGGCCUUGAAUUAUUGGGAAGUAACUAGAAUAUGUAGUGUAGCGGUGAAGAUGCUUAGAUAUUACAUGGAAUACCGAUUGCGAAGGCAGGUUACUAUCAAUACAUUGACGCUGAUGGACGAAAGCGUGGGGAGCGAACAGG
rnacentral:rRNA from 1 species